rnacentral:rRNA from 1 species
GAUGAACGCUAGCGAUAGGCUUAACACAUGCAAGUCGAGGGGCAGCACAAGGUAGCUUGCUAUCUGGGUGGCGACCGGCGCACGGGUGCGUAACGCGUAUGCAACUUGCCCUAUACAGGAGGAUAACCCGUCGAAAGACGGACUAAUACUGCGUAUGCUCACAACUUGGCAUCAAGUGGUGAGGAAAGAAAUUCGGUAUAGGAUAGGCAUGCGUCCCAUUAGCUUGUUGGUGAGGUAACGGCUCACCAAGGCAACGAUGGGUAGGGGAACUGAGAGGUUUAUCCCCGACACUGGUACUGGGACACGGACCAGACUCCUACGGGAGGCAGCAGUGAGGAAUAUUGGUCAGUGGGCGCGAGCCUGAACCAGCCAAGUCGCGUGAAGGAUGACUGUCUUAUGGAUUGUAAACUUCUUUUAUACGGGAAUAACAAGAGUCACGUGUGACUCCCUGCAUGUACCGGAUGAAUAAGCAUCGGCUAACUCCGUG